UACGGAGGGGGCAAGCGUUGUUCGGAAUUACUGGGCGUAAAGGGCGCGCAGGCGGCUGCUCAAGUCAGGCGUGAAAGGCCUGGGCUCAACCCGGGAAUUGCGCUUGAGACUGGGCUGGCUUGAGUGCGGGAGAGGAUGGUGGAAUUCCCAGUGUAGAGGUGAAAUUCGUAGAUAUUGGGAAGAACACCGGUGGCGAAGGCGGCUCUCUGGACCGAGACUGACGCUGAGGCGCGAAAAGCGUGGGGAGCAAACAGG
rnacentral:rRNA from 1 species